UCCCCGCUGCCUCCUUGAAAGAGAGAUGUCCUGAACCGCUAGACGAUGGGGGCAUACUUGCACAACCGCCAUC
rnacentral:tRNA from 5 species